GGAUGGGUGCCCGAGCGGUUGAAGGGACCGGUCUUGAAAACCGGCGACGGUUAAUACCCGUCCGUGGGUUCGAAUCCCACCUCAUCCG
rnacentral:tRNA from 1 species